rnacentral:rRNA from 1 species
UACGUAGGAUCCGAGCGUUGUCCGGAUUUACUGGGUGUAAAGGGUGCGCAGGCGGACUGGUAAGUCAGAGGUGAAAUCUCGUCGCUUAACGACGAAACUGCCUUUGGUACUAUCAGUCUUGAAUCCGGUAGAGAUCUGUGGAAUUCCGAGUGUAGCAGUGAAAUGUGUAGAUAUUCGGAAGAACACCAGUGGCGAAGGCAGCAGAUUGGGCCGGUAUUGACGCUCAGGCACGAAAGCAUGGGGAUCAAACAGG